rnacentral:rRNA from 1 species
GACGAACGCUGGCGGCGUGCUUAACACAUGCAAGUCGUACGGUAAGGCCCUUUCGGGGGUACACGAGUGGCGAACGGGUGAGUAACACGUGAGUAACCUGCCCACAACUUUGGGAUAACGCUAGGAAACUGGUGCUAAUACUGGAUAUGUGCUCCUGCUGCAUGGUGGGGGUUGGAAAGCUCCGGCGGUUGUGGAUGGACUCGCGGCCUAUCAGCUUGUUGGUGGGGUAGUGGCCUACCAAGGCGGCGACGGGUAGCCGGCCUGAGAGGGUGACCGGCCACAUUGGGACUGAGAUACGGCCCAGACUCCUACGGGAGGCAGCGGUGGGGAAUAUUGCACAAUGGGCGCAAGCCUGAUGCAGCAACGCCGCGUGCGGGAUAACGGCCUUCGGGUUGUAAACCGCUUUCAGCAGGGACGAAGCUUUUUGUGACGGUACCUGCAGAAGAAGCACCGGCUAACUACGUG